rnacentral:lncRNA from 1 species
GAAACAGUGCGUUUCAUGUGGGCGAGGUUAUGUACUGUCAUAUAACUCAUCUUCUCUCCUCUUCCUCCUCCUCCAAAACUCCAUAUCAUCUACUGUAACUUUCCAUCUCCCUCACCUACAUUCUUUGCCUCCAUAAUCUACUCAUCUUGAUGAUAUUUGGUCACGACUAAGUCUCAUUUGUUCCAGAUCUGAAGGUAACAACUCUCAACCAAAAGUUAAAGAGGAUUGGUCUGAAGGUACGAAAAAGAUUAUGCAGCAUGUACCGUUGGGGCGGUUCGGUCGUUUCAGUGGCUUAUGAACAACCUUACUUCAUAUCAAAGUGUAUGUUUAACUUAUUCUGUUUAUACCAUAUCCACAGGUGGAGUCUCUUGUAACAGAAAUUUGUAACAUAACCUCAAUUAAAGAGUUUGAUUUUAAGGUGAGUGUUUGUAGAAACCGGCGACUAUAAUGUCCAUUGCAUUUGUUAAUCCAUUUCUCAAAACUAACUUUUAUAUCUAACCUGAGAUUUCAGUAACAUAUCUAACUCUUAUGUCUUACUAACUCUUUGGCAUCCCUACAAGAAGUAAGACCAUGUAUGUCUUUGGUAGCCCUACAAGAACUGCUGAAGCACUUUUCAGGUAUGUUAGAUUUUUAUAUUUUUUCAAGUAUGUUUAUGCAUGGUCGUAAAUCAUUAAUUUCUUAUCGCUGCUUUCGGGUUUGAUUUUGCAAAGAUAUGCAAGUAUACAACAUGUUUGAUUUUGCAAAGAUAUGAUAUUGUUAUUUGCAUUUUACAUGGACAUGUUAUCUGAUCUAUAUUCAGACUUAGAUGAGAGUAUAAGUGAAAGUGAAUAUCUCAGUGACGAUGAUGCCUCAACUCAGUUUUGUUUUUAAAUAAAUAAAGUGAUGUUAUUAUUAUGAUGUAAUACUGAAAUAAGAAAAGUUGAGUUGGCGUAUCUGAGAGUUCGACGCAAAAGCUUUUCUGAUGUCAGCGAAAACUCUCCUUUAAUAGUAAGUUGAUAUUUAACCAUUCUUCAUGAUGA